rnacentral:rRNA from 1 species
AUGAUUGUCACACUAUGGGCGAUUUGGGCGGCGAGGAGAAAGAUCAUACAUGAAGGAAUUUACAAAACUCCUCUCGCUACUCAUGGUUUUGUCACUAGCUACUUGGCUGAUUUGAAACACAUACAGAAACCUAUUGAGAGGUCACCGGCAACUCCAAGGGCUCGCCCAACUGCUUGGCAGCCACCACCGGAGGUUCAUGUUAAGAUUAAUGUCGAUGCAGCUGUGCCACGUGCUGGUAGAAGGGGGGCUGUGGGAGCCGUUUGACGCGAUGCAUUGGGUGUGUAUUUGGGGGCCUCGGCAGUUAUCUUCAACAACAUAGUCGACCCGGAGGUGCUUGAAGUUCUAGCUACAAGGGAAGCACUGGCGCUUGCCGAGGACUUGUACGAGCAGAAAGUUUUCAUCGCCUCGGAUUGCUUGACAGCGGUGGAGGCGAUCAAAAGUGGGACGGCGGCAGCAUAUGGAGCAGUGGUACAUUAA